GUCUUUGACGUUCGCUUUUCCGUCGUCCUCGGGACAUUAAGGUGCUCUGGUYRAGGAUAAAYGACCCCUCUGACCGAGGUCAAACCCGUCGCUCUGUGUUACCUCYAAAAAUUUUUUUUCCGAGGCACACCUUAAAGAUCGUUCCGCAUUGYGAGUCUAACACCAGUUGUAUAAACUUUUUACAACCGGUAGCGCUGGAUCCCUUGGCACGUCAUUCGAUGAAGACCGUUGCAAAUUGCGAUAAAGUGAUGUGAUGCGCAAGUCCACCACUUAUACGUGAAUCAUCGAGUUGUUGAACGCAUUGCACCGCGCCCUAAUCCGGCUGCGGUAUGCCCCUUUGAGCGUCAUUGUAUUCCUUCGGGAGUCCUUUUACAAGGACCCGAGUUCGGAGUCCUCGGUCCCCUGUGGAUCGUGUUCUCUCAGAUCCCUCGCACCGAUCGCCUGAUGCGUCCUCUAAUGCCUAAGCGUGGAGUUCCUUCAGAGUCCGASASGUGCUUGACCGAGUCUUGAGCUCGUGUCACCAAGUCYGCCUAACAGCRGUACUACAACRCAUGACCUCAUUGGGGUAGGACAACCCGCUAGACUUAAGCAUAUUAAUCAGCGGAGGAAAAGAAACUAACCAGGA
rnacentral:rRNA from 1 species